UCUUGUGGAUAUGGCAGUUCGUCGCCGAGGAAAUGGGAGCGAUGGCGCUGCACAAAUAAUUUUGUAAGCGAAUUCUUGGACUGGAAGCGCUGCCAUGGCCGCAAUCGGGCAAUGGCGGCGAAUUUGAGGACUAGGAUCUGGAAAUAUGAGAACGAGGUCGUAGCAUUGAGGCAAUGGCAGUGGUAGCAGGCUUGGCAGCUGCGACUGGCGGCGCAGUGCUGGAAUGUAGCUCUGUUCUAUCGCCUGGCAUUCCAAGCACUUCUUCGUUGAGACGUCAAAAGCCUUGCUCCAGAAGGAGGGGAUGCUUCGCAAAAUUGGAUCAUCACAAUGCAAAUCCACGGCUUUGGAGCUCGGUUCUAGCAUGGAAUCACGAAGGCCCAGAACGAAGAUGGAAGGUGGCUGACACCUUACAAGUGAGAGCAGUGACCACCACUUCCAGUUUUACAGAGACUGAGGCUUGGUUGGCUAGUGACGAGGCAACGACUAUUGCUGCGGCCGAGGAAGCCAUGGCUCUUGCAAGGGCGGCGGUUCUAGCAGCUCGAGAAGCUGCCGAGGCCAUUGCUGAUGAUUCUGGCGAAAUGGAACUCGCGAACGAACCACUUGCUGGAUCAACUUUGGGACUCGAGCAGAGCAUCCAACUUCCAGAGGUGGCGAGGAUUGAGACAACAGAAGAAGCGGAAGAAACUGCAUUGCAAGCCAAUGAACUUCUUUCAACAGAGACGGAGAGCUUAGAGAGGAAGUACAACGUGGAAGUAGCGGUUACCUCUAGGAGGCGCAAACAAAGGAUGAUGAAAAGAGUACAGGCAGCAGAGAAGAGAAAGAACGAGAUGGAGGACGGAGAUGGGGAGACGAUCAAAGGACUUUUUCCAGCCGGAUCGAGAAAAGUCGUAGGCAGAGACCGGUACUGUCCACAAAUAUCUAGGAGGACUCGAAUGUCUGCUUCCGAGGAGCUGGAAGCAAUCAAUGGUAUUCAGGAGCAUAUAAAAAUGGAAGCCUUGUUUACCAGCAUGAGCGAGCAGCUUGGACGUGAACCAACAUUCAGAGAAUGGGCCGAGGCAUUGAAAAUAGAACCUCAAGAGCUUCGGAGGAAGCUCAAACAUGCAAAAAGAUGCAGGACCAACAUGGUCUCUUCAAAUCUCGGGCUCGUGAUCAAAGUGGCCCGAAAGUUUGGGUUGAAGGGGACGACGAUAGAGGAUCUUAUACAGGAAGGGAUCAACGGUUUACUUCACGGUGUUGAAAAGUUCGACACAUCUCGAGGUUUCCGGCUUUCAACGUACGUACUUUGGUGGAUUGAGCUAUCCGUAAGGAGGGCAUCGGUGAAACGCAGCAUAAUGUGCCAAGUGCCUAUGCAUCUAUUUGAUACGCACACUCGAGUUUUAAAGACGAGAGCCAGGAUCUUCGAAGAACGUGGUACAUUUCCAACAAACGAGGAAGUGGCCACGAUCCUUGGAACGACUGCGCAAAAAGUCCAUCUGGCUGCCAAUCUUAUGAGACAUCCAAAGUCAUUGGACGACAAUGUACCAGGUUGCGACAACGUCACUCUUUUGGAAAUCCUACCGGACCCGGAAGUAGAGUCCUCUCUUCUAGUUGCCGAGAAGGCGCUACUAAAGGAACAGCUCGACAAAGUGCUCAAUCUCCUGAAGCCCAGGGAGAAGGAAGUCCUGACACUCCGCUAUGGCAUUGGCGAUGGAAGGGACAGAACUUUGGAGGAGCUGAGCCACCAUUUCAACCUCUCUAGAGAACGAGUUCGCCAGAUCGAGAAGCGUGCACUGGCCAAGAUUCACGAGCUGGGAGGAAAGGAGCUACUGGCGAGUUUUGUCAAGACUUUCACCACCAAUACUGACUUGUAAUAUCAAAACUUUCUCGAGCGCUCUUUAAAGCUGCAUAUUUUUCCAUUGCAUGGAAAGUUUGCCAGUGAAGCGUGUCUCACUCUCAGUGAGUUUCGGUACAGUUUGUGCGUUUUUAAAGGGGGCUUUGGGCUUUUCACUUCUAUACGACGGUUCCAAUGGCUUCUUACCAGGACACUCAAUCCGAGUACUACUAUCCCACGACGGAUAAAGACGCAACGAUUCCAGUGAUUGUUGUGGAGGACGACGCAGCAGCGGCAGAAGUCGACGACAAAGCUCCGGCUGUCGAGGGAGAGGACGCUCCGGAGCUCACCGACGAGGAAAUCCAGAAGAUGGAAGAUGAAGAGCUCAAGAACGAGGAAGAGGAAGAUAUUCCGGAGGAAGUUGUCAAGUAAUCAUGAAGAUUUUCUUCUUUCUUCUCGUAGCCCUGUUGGUAGAUUUCUAACACUAGUCUCAGUUAUCUACGUCUGCAAGCUAAUGUAGCUCUUUAUUUACAUUCCACGAACCUGAGUUCUUUGUUAAAAAAGAGAAUCUUGCUCUUGGA